GAUGAACGCUGGCGGCGUGCCUAAUACAUGCAAGUCGAGCGAACAGAUAAGGAGCUUGCUCCUUUGACGUUAGCGGCGGACGGGUGAGUAACACGUGGGUAACCUACCUAUAAGACUGAGAUAACUUCGGGAAACCGGAGCUAAUACCGGAUAACAUUUGGAACCGCAUGGUUCUAAAGUGAAAGAUGGUUUUGCUGUCACUUAUAGAUGGACCCGCGCCGUAUUAGCUAGUUGGUAAGGUAACGGCUUACCAAGGCAACGAUGCGUAGCCGACCUGAGAGGGUGAUCGGCCACACUGGAACUGAGACACGGUCCAGACUCCUACGGGAGGCAGCAGUAGGGAAUCUUCCGCAAUGGGCGAAAGCCUGACGGAGCAACGCCGCGUGAGUGAUGAAGGGUUUCGGCUCGUAAAACUCUGUUAUUAGGGAAGAACAAACGUGUAAGUAACUGUGCACGUCUUGACGGUACCUAAUCAGAAAGCCACGGCUAACUACGUG
rnacentral:rRNA from 1 species